rnacentral:rRNA from 1 species
UACAGAGGUCUCAAGCGUUGUUCGGAUUCAUUGGGCGUAAAGGGUGCGUAGGCGGCGCGGUAAGUCGGGUGUGAAAUGCCGCGGCUCAACCGUGGAACUGCCUUAGAUACUGACGGCCUCGAGGAAGGUAGGGGCAUGCGGAACUGUAGGUGGAGCGGUGAAAUGCGUUGAUAUCUACAGGAACUCCGGUGGCGAAAGCGGCGUGCUGGACCUUUUCUGACGCUGAGGCGCGAAAGCUAGGGGAGCAAACGGG